AGAGGGUAAAUCACUAACGACUAAUGAUAAUAGGUGAAAAAAUUGUUGAUAAUUUAUAGGAAAUCUUUGGAAAAUUGUGGUACUUUGGAAUCUGAUGUACAAACUAUUGAUUAUUGAUUUACUCUCUGGUAAAAUAUGUUACAUCAUGGCUAUAUUUUCUUCUUCUUCAUUGGCAUUACCUCUUCAAGAAAUUUUACUACCACCAACAUCUCCUUCCACUCUUCUCUAUUUUGUACUUUUUCUUCCCAAUUUGGUAUCCCUAGGUUCUCUAAAUCCUGCUUUGUUCCAUCAAUCUAUCGUUUCUUUGGACGUCCUCUUGGUCUCUUUCUUGUGGAUUCCCUGUUCCUCUUUAAGGAUCUCUGAGUUGGGCCUUCUCAUCACGUGCCCAAACCAUUUUAUUAUUUUUGCUUUCGCAAAAUUAGUUAUUCUUUGAACCCCUGUUAAAUAUCGGAUCUCUUUAUUCCUUCUUCUGCGCCAUCAUCCUAGUUUGUUGUCGUAUACUGGACCUCAGAUGGUUCUCAAUAUUUUGUUUUUGAAUGACUUAAGUUCUUGUUCCAUUCUGCUAGUUAAAGGCCACACCCCACAUCCAUAUGUUAAUGUUGAUCUAAUUAUCGCCGUAUAGAGAUGUACUUUGGUUUUUCUAGAAAACAGUUGAUUUUAAGUAUUUAGUUACCGAAAAUGAUGUCUGUCUUAAUGAUUCGGUUAUUUAAUUUGAUGGACAAAUCAUUAUUAUCACUGAUAGAGGCCCUCAGAUAUUUAAAUUGGAGUACUUUUUCUAAUUUACUUAUGUAUGCCUUUGAAUCACUACAUUGUCAACCUGGUUGUCUGGUAAUAACUCCAUCACUUUAGUUUUAUUAUCAUUUACAUUUAGCCCCAUGGUUUUGGCUUUGUUAAUGAGAGCUAUGGUGCUCUGUACCACACUCUCUCCAUCGUCACCAACUAUAUUCAAAUCAUCAGCAAAACCUAAAAUACCAAUCUUCAGUAUACUGUCAAUACCUCAUUUAUCCCCCUGUAUACUCCGUACAACUUUCUCCAGUGCAAUAUUGAACAGUAGUGGUGAAAGAGCGAUCUAUAUCUACAAAUGCAAUUUAAAGUAGUGUUUAAUAUAGUAAAAAUAUAUUCAUGUAUACCUGCAUAAUAAUAUAAUAUGUAAUUUGUCAUAACUAAAUAAAUUGAUAACAGUUUUUCUUUUUUGUCGAAAAGUCUAAUAAGUUGAUAUAAUGCUUCCUUUGUAAAACCUAUUUAGUCUAGUUAUGAACGUAAAUCGAUAAGGUAGCGCUCAAUUAGCUAUAAACAAUUCAAGACUUAAAAUAUUUUCAAAAUUAUACAUGUAUACAUUAUUAUUUUAUGAUAGAGUUAAUAUAAAUAUCUGGUGAAAAUAAUUGGUUACUUAGUUUACUACAGUUCUUGUUAUUAACUGAAUUACAAAAAAAAAAAAAAACCAUCAAUAAUAAUAGAAACUAGUUGCACUUCAAUUUUCCACACUAUUCCCAAUUAUUAAGUAAGAAAACUACAAGGAAAAUAAAAAAAUGACCUCCCUUUCUAAUGUACAAAGACAAUAUUUCUACCAGUCACCACCCUUAAAGUUGAUGAUCAGAGCAAUAUUUCUGGUAGAAAAGUUGUUUACAGGCAAACAUUAAAAAACACAUAUAGUAAAACCAAUAAAUUCCUCAAUACACUAAGAAACAAAAUGCUUUUUUUGAUAUACAUUUUAGUACCUAGGUAUAAAUAGUAAAAUGUAGAAUUUAAAUAGUUCAUUUACAGACUUGCCAAGAAAAU
rnacentral:lncRNA from 1 species